GAAGUCACUUGUAUUGGCAGACAUCGAAGGUGACAACUGCAUCACCAAAGUCCAUCCCAUCACAGAAGCUGGAAAUCUGGAGUGCCCUACAUAACUCACAGGCCACUCAGCUGGUUGGAGAACAUCCUUUCAGAUACUUCAAAUUAUCCACUAACUGUUCUGCAGAGCCUUGUAUAGAGGUACAAAGAAUUCUUCCAAAGAAUGGAUGUGUGUGCACGUGUAAUGUAGAGGCAGUUUUCUUACACUUGAUAAAGGACUUUCUUCACCCAGACUAGGUAUGAUUGUGUCCAAUUUCACUUUUAGGAUGUAUAUAAAAUUCCCAGUUCCUGGCAGUUAGUUUAUAGAUUUCAAAAUAUAAGAUUCAUGUUUUGAGGUAGUCACCAAUAU